CUGCCUGCACCCUGCUCUGGCAGCUGCUGUCCGCGGCAGCCGGAACGUUUCUGCCAGGCUGCAGCGCUCUGCGGAAGAGCUUCAGCGGCGCGCUUCUAGGCGGGCGGCGCUUCCGGCGGAGAGUCGUUCGCGCCGGGCCGGUGAGUCCGCUGGUGCAGCUAAGAGUGCUGAAUAAUACACACUUUGUAAAAUAUGGAUGAAGAACCUGAAAGAACUAAGCGAUGGGAAGGAGGCUAUGAGGGAGCUUGCUUUUGAGGAAGAAUCAGAUAAGCCAUCAGCAGUAAUCGCAGUACCUGGUAUAGAAGGACGAAUCUGCCAUAUUUUCCAGCACAUGAAAGAACACUUACAUCAAGUUAGAAUUGCAAGAAAACAGAGUUUCAGAGUUUUACCAACCAUUAGUGAUACUGCAUCUGAAAAUUCUGAUUCUAAUUGAAAUAUAAUAUAGGUAACAUGUUUCAUCUGUAAAUGCCAAAAUGAAUCUGGUCAACUAACAUACAAUUUGCAUUGCUAAAUAUAGUAAUAUAAUCGACAGUGUUAUAGAAUUGAUGUUGAUACUAGCAAUACUGCACUACAUGUUCAUUUUAUUUGAUUCUUAUCAUGUCUUAUAGCUUUUGACUCUCAGAUGUAUGACUUUAGGAAACAAUAUAGGUACAAUUUUGAAUAUGUUUUUGAUUUAAAUAUAUAUAAUGUAUGUUUCCAGAUUAAACGAGUUGCAUGCUUACUUUUCCACAAUAAUUUAUAUGUUGUUUUUCCUUUUAAUCUUGCUUUGCUUAUGUUUUCUAUCUGAAUGAAAUAUAGACACACAUAUACAUAUAUAUGUAUAUAUAUAGGAAUAUUUGUAUUUAUAUGUAUGUAUAUACUUUUCCUUCCAUUGUUGCCUUAAAAUCACCUUAUUUCACUAUUAUGAUUCUGAUUUGGAUCAGAAUAAGGAAAAAUAAAGUAAAUAUCUAAUACUGAUCUUGACUGUUCUUUUGUAACAUAAAUGAGAUUGUAAAGUAUAGCAAAGGAAUAAUAAAAACUUUAUUUAAAGAUGUCCUGAAUUUUCAUCUUAAUGAAAUAUACCAUGUAUUUUUAUGCAGUUUAAUUACUUAUCCUUUCAAUAAAAGCAGUAUUUCUUACCAAAAAAAG
rnacentral:lncRNA from 1 species